rnacentral:ncRNA from 1 species
AUAAUGAUACUUCUUUAGUGAAAGCCGGCUCAUCUUAAUAGGGGCGGUGGUGAGAUUCCAAUGU